rnacentral:rRNA from 1 species
CACGUAUUUAGCCGGUGCUUCUUACUCAGGUACCGUCAUUUUUCUUCCCUGCUGAUAGAGCUUUACAUACCGAAAUACUUCUUCGCUCACGCGGCGUCGCUGCAUCAGGGUUUCCCCCAUUGUGCAAUAUUCCCCACUGCUGCCUCCCGCAGGAGUUUGGGCCGUGUCUCAGUCCCAAUGUGGCCGGCCGCCCUCUCAGGCCGGCUACUGAUCGUCGGUUUGGUGGGCCGCUGCCCCGCCAACUGCCUAAUCAGACGCGGGCCCCUCCCGUACCGCCGGAGCUUUUCACACCGCGCCAUGCGGCGCUGUGCGCUUAUGCGGUAUUAGCAGCCGUUUCCGGCUGUUAUCCCCCUGUACGGGGCAGGUUGCCCACGCGUUACUCACCCGUCCGCCACUCAGUCCCGCGGCUCUCCGGCCCGAAGGCCUUCCUUCCGCGCGCUUCGUUCGACUUGCAUGUGUUAAGCACGCCGCCAGCGUUCAUCCUGAGCCAGGAUCAAACUCU